rnacentral:snRNA from 1 species
GGCCCCAGAGGUGGGUCAUUUUUGGAGCCUGGAAUAUAGAGAAGAUUAGCAUGGUCCUGCACAAGGAUGACACAGAAAUUUGUGAGGCAUUCCAUAUUUUU